rnacentral:sRNA from 1 species
UGUAGGAUGGGGUAGAAGGGAGAGUGCUCACUUUAAUUCAGAACACACUGGGUGGCUGUUGUGGGGUGCUCUCCUCCCGGCAUGAAAGCCACCAUCUACACCAGGGCAGCAGUGAUCACUUGUAAGCAGCCCUUGGAUUUAGGCCUGCUGUCUGUCAACAGCCCCUCAUAGAAAGAGGGACAUCUUUGAUCCCUACCUGAGAUUACAGUUACUCCUCCCCAAACCUCCCAGACAAACCACAAGUAAUGGUGCCUUAAUUGCAUAUGGCCUUGUGGCCUCAGAGGCAUAGCAAAGUGUGGAAGGCUAAUGAAGAGGGCACUUAGCUAUACAGCCUCAGGGAAGUUGUUGUGCAGGCUGGGGUGAGGUUUGGGGUUUGUUUUGUUUUGAUUUUGUUUUUUGGGUUGUUUUGUUUGUUUGGUGCAGCUGCUCUGGGCUCACCCAGGCUCCUGUAAGUAACCUCUCACUCAUGCUCAGGAAGUACACCGAAUAUAUCCACUGGUUCUCCUGGCUGAACCUUGGCGGGAAUCAGCUUUGUUCUGUGGUUGGUGACCUAUUUUGGAGCAGGUGCUUAUGUCUGCUGCCCCUCCCCCACCCAGAAAAGCUCACAGUUUUUGAGCUCUGCAAAAACAAAGCUUGGCAAUUGCCUCAUGCUAAGCCGACUCUUCUCUAAACCAUCGGCAUCCUCACUCGAGGUAGCUAAAUUUCUGGGAACAGCACGUACCCUGCAGUGUUCCCGGUUCCCCUGGACCAUGGGCACACCCCUCCUUCCGAGCCUUUGUGCCUUUGUAAUGCUCCAGAGAAGCUCAGGAAAACAGUGGGCAACGUUCUUGGAAGGGCGCCCUUCUAUGUGUCCUGAGGGCUUCGGAAGGGAGCACUGUAAGGAGGAGGCAGCUGGACACAGGAGGCUCUCGAGGAGGCUGAGGAGGCUUCCAUCCACCACCCACGAGUGAGAAGGGGGGCAUAUGUUUGGAGCAAGCAGUAACAUGCAUCCCAGGUGGAAAGAGAGGCUCUGUAAGGCCAUGCACCGUGGUUCAGCCCUUAGUGACUCCAGCACCCUGCCUGUAUCUUCCCUGUGCCGCCUACAUCCUGGCCACAAUCCCUGGUGACAGAAGAGGAAGGAAAUGAAGCCAGCACAAACAGCUGAGUUGGCUGUGACUAUCACUGCUGCCAGGCUGAGGACCAUGCUGAAGCCCCUGGAGAGUACCCUGGCAGCUAGAACUUAGCAGGACCAGAAGAUUCAGCAGCCAUGUGUAUGGCAGUGGAGGCCAGGCCCCCUAGGGAACCUUUGGAGUUGGGCACCGCUGGAAUGUCCGCCUUCUGCGGAGAAAUCUGAAUUCUGGGAAAAGGAGAUGAGCUCAUUCUGAUAAGCGGCACUUAUCGUUGCAGUUUCCCCUUCUGGCCACUAGAUGGCCGCCCCGACCAGGAACCAGCACUUCAGAGAACAGGUAGGGCGCAGGUGCUGGGAAUUGAGAUUUGUGAAUUGCGGCAAUUUUAGAAAAAGGACCUAGUUUCACUUCGCCGCACUCACCCAGCAGAGCUGUUCCUGUCCAAGAAUCCAGUCCAUGAGGCCGAUGUCUCAGCUGAUCUUCUGUAGACGUCAGAAUCCGGAAGAAGUAGGCUCUAACGCCAGUGAAGGAAUGGUCUUGUUAAUGAGAUCAAGAGCAAGCAGGCAGAGAGAGCAAGCGUCCUUCUUCCAUGUCUUUUAUAUUGGCUGCCAACGGAAGGUGUGUCCAGGCUAGUUAAUUCCAGAUGUGGCCAAAUGAACACCCAAGACGAGCCACCACACGCCAUUGGCCAGCACCUACCCUCAGAGCCGUUCACAGCCGAUCCACUGGUUCCUAUUCAGCCUAGGGCCUGAGCCCAGGGGAUUGUGUGCCUACAUUCAGGGUGGGUCUUCCCUCCCCAUUAACCUUUCCGAAAUCACGGUCACAAACAGGCCUAGAGCUGUGUCUCUGAGGCGAUUCUAAAUCCAGUCACCUUGACAAUGAAGAGUAACCAGGGCUUCGACUGUGGUCCUCCUGCCUCUGCUUCCCGACUACUGUGCUUACAGCAGUCACCAUAUCACCACCAUGCCUGGAUUCGGCGUAACUCUCCAUAUUCUGGGAACUUUCCCUGUGUAGCAGACCUACCUGGACUCACGUGAACACAGCAUGGUCCUACCCGAAGCUCAAGCUGAAGGCCUUUCUACAAAUGUGGCCCCUGCAUCUGUGAGUUCAAGCAUGGACAUCCACAGCUUGCAGAAAUUAUGUGGUUGGGUCUGUACUGAAUAUUUAAGACAUAUUUGCCUUCUUACUGUUUCCCAAACGUCACAGAAUAGUAGGUAUUUACACUGUUCCGUGCAGUACAUGUAAUCAAGCGAUGGUUCCCAACAGGUGAGAGAGCAGGGUGUGGGUGUGCAAGUCUGUAUCAGCACUGGGCAGGUGAGGCAGGGGGAUAGGUAUUGUGAGACAGUUUAGGCCACAUAGUAAGACUCUGUUCCAACAGAACAACAGCAGCAGCAACGACAAAACCAAGCAACGCAAACAACAAAGAGAGGCAAGAUUUUUAGUGUUGGCCUCAGUUCUGGGAGCAAUCCUGGGGGAUGGCUGCAUUUUGUUGUGGUGUUUGUUUGUUUGUUGUUGUUGCUGUAUCUCAAGACAGGGUUUCUCUGUGUAGCCCUGGCUGUCCUGGAACUUGCUUUGUAGACCAGGCUAGUCUGGAGUUCACAGAGUUCCUCUGGAGCUCACACAGAUCUUCUGUCUCUGCCUCUUGAGGGACUUAGGUGGGCUCCGUCUCAAUGAGGACACUUAUCAUCUCUCAUACUGAGCUUUUCCUCUGAGCUUCAUUUAAGUUCAUUUGCGUGUGUACCCUGUAUGUUCACACCAUGGCGUGUAUGAACAAAAAGAUCAGAGGACAACUUGCCAGAGUCAUUUCUCUCUGUCAUGCUGGUCCCAAGAAUUGAAUUCAGGUGGUGGCAGAUGAGACAUCUCACUGGUUCAGUCUUUCUUUUGUUUUCAUAUUUUUAAUUUAAAAGAUCUUAUCCUUUUAAAAAGUUAAGAUCAGGUUUAGUUCCCUGAAUAUCUUCUUAAAGAAUGUCUAUUCUAUCUCCUUUUUGAAAUAGGGUUUCACGUAGCUCAGGCUAGCACUGAGUUUCUUAUGGAGCCCAUGAUGGCUUUGAACUUCUGAUUCUUCUGCCUCACAAGUGCUGGGAUUUAUCAGGUACCACCAUGUCCAGAUGAAUUUCCAAUGUAACUAAGUAUCCUGAAUUUUGUCUAGUAAUCUCAUAAGUGAGAUUAGCAGCUGCCUGCUAGAGGCAGAGAAAAAAGGGAAACAUAAAAAGACAGAGAGAAGAGAGAGAGAAAAGGGAAGAGGCCAGCUGGGAACACGA